CAGUAGCCGCGGUAAUACAGAGGGUGCGAGCGUUAAUCGGAUUUACUGGGCGUAAAGCGUGCGUAGGCGGCUUCUUAAGUCGGAUGUGAAAUCCCUGAUCUUAACUUAGGAAUUGCAUUCGAUACUGGGAAGCUAGAGUAUGGGAGAGGAUGGUAGAAUUCCAGGUGUAGCGGUGAAAUGCGUAGAGAUCUGGAGGAAUACCGAUGGCGAAGGCAGCCAUCUGGCCUAAUACUGACGCUGAGGUACGAAAGCAUGGGGAGCAAACAGGAUUAGAUACCCGUGUAGUCCCUGUCUCUUAUAC
rnacentral:rRNA from 1 species